GACAGAGGAGCCAAGCGUUGUCCGGAUUUACUGGGCGUAAAGGGCGUGCAGGCGGUUUGUUAAGUGCAGGGUGAAAGCUCCCGGCUCAACUGGGAGAGGUCCUUGCAUACUGGCGAACUCGAGGGAGGCAGAGGAAAGUGGAAUUCCCGGUGUAGUGGUGAUAUGCGUAGAUAUCGGGAGGAACACCUGUGGCGAAGGCGGCUUUCUGGGCCUUACCUGACGCUGAGACGCGAAAGCGUGGGGAGCGAACCGG
rnacentral:rRNA from 1 species